rnacentral:rRNA from 1 species
CCUACGGGGGGCAGCAGUGAGGAAUAUUGGUCAAUGGACGAGAGUCUGAACCAGCCAAGUAGCGUGAAGGAUGACUGCCCUAUGGGUUGUAAACUUCUUUUAUAUGGGAAUAAAACGUUCCACGUGUGGGAUUUUGUAUGUACCAUAUGAAUAAGGAUCGGCUAACUCCGUGCCAGCAGCCGCGGUAAUACGGAGGAUCCGAGCGUUAUCCGGAUUUAUUGGGUUUAAAGGGAGCGUAGGUGGAUUGUUAAGUCAGUUGUGAAAGUUUGCGGCUCAACCGUAAAAUUGCAGUUGAAACUGGCAGUCUUGAGUACAGUAGAGGUGGGCGGAAUUCGUGGUGUAGCGGUGAAAUGCUUAGAUAUCACGAAGAACUCCGAUUGCGAAGGCAGUUCACUGGACUGCAACUGAAACUGAGGCUCGAAAGUGUGGGUAUCAAACAGGAUUAGAUACCCCGGUAGUC